GAGAUAGAGGUGCGUUUUUCAUAAGUAGCAUAUAUGAGAUAUGAAGGUAUCGGUGAUUAUAUGUAAAAGGGUAAAAUGCCGAAGGCUUGCCUUCCCUUCAGGUGGCGGUCUGGUUGCCUUGAUUAAUAGUCGGGUGACUGUCAUCACGUAUAUGUGGUGGAGAGCUAUCCGA
rnacentral:ncRNA from 1 species